GUGUACGGCCAUACCACCCUGAACACGCCCGAUCUCGUCUGAUCUCGGAAGUUAAGCAGGGUUGGGCCUUGUUAGUACUUGGAUGGGAGACCUGCUUAAGGAAGGGGGGUCCCCCCCC
rnacentral:rRNA from 1 species